CCCGCCCUCCUGCCUCUUUCAGCCAGCCAGGCCUCAGCAAGCCGAGGGCGGGAGUCAUGGCGGAGAGUAAUCCUGGGAGUGGGGAUGCUGCGCCGUCUCUCUCCCAGUCCCCUGGCCCUGGGCCCGGUCCUCGGCGAUGGGAGCGGCUGAGGCUGGCUUCAGGGCCUUGGGCGCGGUCAUUUGGCUUCCUGGCGACGCUGGGUCUCCUUUAUUUCUUGCGGGGCCCGCUUCGGCUGCGGGACAACUUAGUGGCAGUGACUGUUUUCUUGAGCACACUGACUCCAAAAUUCUAUGUUGCACUUACGGGAACUUCAUCUUUGAUAUCUGGUCUGAUAUUUAUAUUUGAAUGGUGGUACUUCAGAAAAUAUGGCAUGUCUUUUAUCGAGCAGGUUUCUGUGAGUCAUCUGCGACCACUCAUUGGAGGGGCAGAGAAUGCUAGUUCUGGACAGGCAAAUUUUUCUGCUGCUAAUGGAGAAAAUGAAAUGAACAGACAAAAUCUCUCAGAGUGCAAGGUAUGGAGAAAUCCACUCAAUCUCUUUAGAGGUGCAGAAUAUAACAGAUAUACAUGGGUGACAGGAAAGGAGCCACUAACAUAUUAUGAUAUGAACUUAUCUGCUCAGGAUCAUCAGAGUUUUUUUACCUGUGAAACAGACUCUCUUAGACCUUCAGAUGCAGUUAUGCAGAAGGCAUGGCGGGAAAGGAAUCCUCAGGCCCGAAUCAAAGCAGCGUAUCAAGCUUUAGAAUUAAAUAAUGACUGUGCCACAGCAUACAUUCUUCUGGCUGAGGAAGAAGCAACUACUAUUUUAGAAGCUGAAAAAUACUUUAAACAAGCUCUGAGGGCAGGAGAAACAGUUUAUAAAAAGUCUCAGCAUAGCAGUUCACAAAAUCCACACCAUGAGGCACAGCUUAGAAGAGAUACCAAUGUAUUGGUUUAUGUGAAAAGAAGACUAGCUAUGUGUGCAAGAAAGCUUGGAAGAAUUAAAGAAGCAUCAAAAAUGAUGAGGGAUUUAAUGAAAGAAUUUCCUGUCCUAAGUGUAUUGAAUAUCCAUGAAAACCUCCUAGAAACACUUCUGGAGUUACAGGCUUAUGCUGAUGUCCAGGCAGUUCUAGCAAAGUAUGAUGAUAUCAGUCUUCCAAAAUCAGCAGCAAUAUGUUACACAGCAGCACUCUUAAAAGCAAGAGCAGUUUCAGAUAGGUUUUCUCCAGAAACUGCUUCUAGAAGGGGACUUAGCACAGCCGAAAUUAAUGCUGUAGAAGCAAUACAUAGAGCAGUAGAAUUUAACCCUCAUGUACCAAAGUACUUGCUAGAAAUGAAAAGCUUAAUUUUGCCUCCUGAGCACAUUCUGAAGCGUGGGGACAGUGAAGCAGUAGCCUACGCAUUCUUCCAUCUUCAGCACUGGAAACGAAUAGAAGGGGCCCUUAACUUGCUGCACUGCACAUGGGAAGGCACAUUUAGAAUGAUACCAUAUCCGUUAGAAAAGGGACAUCUAUUUUAUCCCUAUCCCAGUUGCACAGAAACAGCAGACAGAGAGUUAUUACCAACAUUUCAUGAUGUAUCUGUGUAUCCCCAAAAAGAUCUUCCUUUUUUCAUCCAUUUUACAGCAGGGCUAUGUUCUUUCACAGCAAUGUUAGCCCUCCUCACACAUCAGUUUCCUGAACUCAUGGUCAUUUUUGCUAAAGCUAUGGUACUUCCUAAGAGCUGAAGUAACAGGGGUAGCUUUAUUACGAAGCAAUGCAAAACAGUUAUUGAUGACUGUUUCCAAGUUUUUUGGAACUCUUUUGUCACCUUUGAGCUUCUUGAUGGAGAAGAUAGAACGCCUCAUGCCUUCUGGUCUCUGGCAUCAGCUGACCCAAAUCUGAACACAUCUCAGUUCACAUGAACUUUAACAUCAGCACCUCUUGAUUACAAAAGCAUUGGCAACUAAGAGUGUGAAGGAAGCCUUACUUAGCUUUGUUUUACAGGCUGUUAAACAUUUUUUGUACUCCUUCGUAAGCCUAAAAUAUUGUAGAUUUAAAAUCCACAAUUCAGUGUCUGGGUGGGUGGGGAGAGGAUUGUUGGUACUUAAGGCUACUGCUUUCUCUCUCAGAAAUUCCAGAAAGCAAUAAAUCUGAUAGAUCCUAUGUUGAAAUUUCCUUCUGAAGUGGAGAUAUACUUAUUUAUAUUUAUUAGCCAAGAAUCUAACCCACAGGGCUUGUGUUACUGACCAUUUGCCAAGAUGCACGGCCCAGUAGGGGGCCCACUGCCAGUACAUCAAGUCUCCUGCUUCUUUCUGUUGCUGCAUGUUCACUUGUUUACUCCUAAGGAAGGGAGCAGUUAACAGAAAAACAAGAAGGAACUAUAGCCUGCAUUUGCUUUACUCUUUCUCUCCUGAUCUAAGGCAGCAACACGAAGAAAAGGGACCAAGAAGUACCAUAGAGAUGCGUUGCUAAUGCUAGUCUUGAAAGCAAGAGAUAAUUCUGCUGAAACUUGGUUCUGAACCAUUCUUAAUUAUGAGGAUCUUCCAACUGGUCACCAUAUAUUGUGUUUUUUGAGGAUUAUCUGAAUUACAGUUAACUUGGAUUUAUUUAAUUUAAUUAAAAUUAACAAAAUCACAAAGGGAAUAAUACACACACACACACACACACACACACACACACACACACACACAUCAUGCCUAGGCCACACACAAAUUGAAGCCAAGUUGUAUAAUUCCUUGCACAAGGCCAUUAGUAUUGGGGCCAUCAAUGUCUCAGGAAUAUGCUGUUCCACAGGGCAUGCGCAGUGAGUGACAUAGAAAGCAUCCCCUUAUGAUAGUUCUAUAAGUUAAGAAAGAAUAUAAAUUAUAUUUUGGACAGAAUCAUUUAUUAUGUAUAAGUAAAUGCAUAGCCUGGGCAGCCUAGUCAUUUUAUUAAAAGUUUAAUUAGUUGCUAUGUGCCCAUCUCCUCCCCCAUUUUCACUGGCUUAAGCAAGUAGCAGUUCUUAGCCAACCAUUGCCUAUUACAAAAGCUAAGCAGGAUUGGCCCUGGCUUACAUUUGGAUGAAAGACAACCUGACAAUUCUGAAACUGUUGGCCAGAUUAGAAAGUUUUUAAAAAUCCUGAAAGAAAGCAACGGCAAACCAUUUCUAUACAGUGGUCCUUCAAAUCCUUAUGAACCCUUUUAAAUUUUCAAUAUUUCUCUAUAAAUAUGACCUAAAAUGUGAUCUGUCAUCCACACAGUUGUUUAGAACUAUAUAAAGUGAAAACCAAUUAAAUGAGUCUAAAACAUAACUUGUUCAUUUAUUUGCUGAGGAAAGGAUAUAAAGCUACACAUUUGUCACAAAAUGUAUAUGAACUUUGCUUUCAGUAAUUGCUAAUGUUUUGGAGUGGCCAACUUAAAAGUCCUGACCUUAAUCCUAAAGAAAUGUUGUGGAAGGACUUGAAGUAAGGAGUUCAUGUGAGGAAGUCCAUCCCUUAGUUUGAAGAUACUCUGUAAAGAAGAAUGCAUUAAAAUUUCUUCCACACAAAUCUAUAGGACUGAUCAGUUACUGAAAAUGUUUAGUUGCAGUUAUUGCUGCCCAGUGACUGAAAGCAAAGAUUCACAUACUUGCCACACACAAAUAUGUAGCUUUGGAUCAUUUUUCUCAAUAAAGCAAUGAACAAAUGUUUUUAAUUCAUUUAUUUAAUUGCACUGUUUAUCCAGAAAUACUGAAAAUUCAGAAGAAUUUGCAGACACUUAAACACUAACUCUGCCAAGAUAACUGCUUGGCUCAAGGGUGUUUUUACUUUUUUAUUGUUCAUCAAGCAAUAAAUCAGAAUUUAAUAAGUGGAUUAGUCAUUUGCACUUGUUUCUUAAAUUGCUCAACCAUUUGUAGAGCUUGAUGGAGACUGAUACCUUAGGAGGAGUUUCUCCUAACAUCAAUAGACAAAAUUGAUUUUUAUCCUUGACCUUUGACUAUCCUGAGUCAUUUAUAAAGCUCAGUUUAUCCCUUCCCCUUUCUCCCAUCUUCUGUCUUUGUUUUGAACAGCAACUAUAUGAAGGAAAGUGGGACAACUAAAUACUUGAGUAAUAGCAUUGUAGUAUUGGAUGACAGGUGUAUUUCUCAACUGCUGUUAGACAUUAUUAAAGCAUGGCUAGUUCAGAUGUGUAAUCGCAGCAUACAAGGAUAGAAGAAAUACAAGGCAUACACACACAGCGUAUAAGGAUAGAAAAAGUUUUAUCUGUUGCAAAAACACUGAUGUCUACACAAAAUGACUGCUCUUUCUGAAGCAAAGUUAUAUUUCAUAGAUGUUUUGAAGAUCAUUCAUUUCUCUAUCUCUUACAGUAUUUUUCUUUGCUGUAUUUCAUAAAUGUAUAUUGCAAGGCAGAUAGCUUGUUAUCUACAAGCCUAUGAUAUGUUCUUGAUUAUUAGGGAUCAUUACUACUUGAUAAAUAUGUCACUUACCACUCUA